CAGUCGCCACGGUAAUACGAAGGGUGCAAGCGUUACUCGGAAUUACUGGGCGUAAAGCGUGCGUAGGUGGUGGUUUAAGUCCGUUGUGAAAGCCCUGGGCUCAACCUGGGAAUCGCAGUGGAUACUGGGUCACUAGAGUGUGGUAGAGGAUAGUGGAAUUUCCGGUGUAGCAGUGAAAUGCGUAGAGAUCGGAAGGAACAUCUGUGGCGAAGGCGACUAUCUGGGCCAACACUGACACUGAGGCACGAAAGCGUGGGGAGCAAACAGGAUUAGAUACCCCUGUAGUCCCUGUCUCUUAUAU
rnacentral:rRNA from 1 species